rnacentral:rRNA from 1 species
GAUGAACGCUGGCGGCGUGCCUAAUACAUGCAAGUCGAGCGAACAGACGAGGAGCUUGCUCCUCUGACGUUAGCGGCGGACGGGUGAGUAACACGUGGAUAACCUACCUAUAAGACAGGGAUAACUUCGGGAAACCGGAGCUAAUACCGGAUAAUAUAUUGAACCGCAUGGUUCAAUAGUGAAAGACGGUUUUGCUGUCACUUAUAGAUGGAUCCGCGCCGCAUUAGCUAGUUGGUAAGGUAACGGCUUACCAAGGCAACGAUGCGUAGCCGACCUGAGAGGGUGAUCGGCCACACUGGAACUGAGACACGGUCCAGACUCCUACGGGAGGCAGCAGUAGGGAAUCUUCCGCAAUGGGCGAAAGCUUGACGGAGCAACGCCGCGUGAGUGAUGAAGGUCUUCGGAUCGUAAAACUCUGUUAUUAGGGAAGAACAAAUGUGUAAGUAACUAUGCACGUCUUGACGGUACCUAAUCAGAAAGCCACGGCUAACUACGUG